UCAGAGUCUCUAGUCAAAGUUUCUUACCUUUUGUGUGCUCUUUUCUAGGAAACUUGAAGUCCUGGUCUGUAGUUCCUGUCACUCUCUGUUCUGGCUCCAAGUCCUCAGUUUGGAUCUUGCCACAGCCAAAGUAUUCAAGCCUCAGGAGAAACCCAUUUUGGAUUAAGCCCCAGCUGACAGCUAAAGACUUUCAUCCCCAGGCUAGCGAAACCUGCUCACCCUCCACCAACUGACUAAUCCUCACCACGUAACUUUGUCUCUGAAACCAAUAUCUGGAUAAACUUAACUAUCAAAUACUCACCUGCAACCUCGCCAGAGCAUUCACCGCCUCCUUGGAAAAACUUCCCGGUUCCGCAGCAGCAUCAGGUCAAUCCUCCCAGACUCCACAUCACUCUCCACUCCAACCACCUCUUCAUCUAACAUGCUGUGCCUCCAGUCCCAGUCCCAGUUCCACAUUUCAUUCCUGAACAAUAAUAAAACUUGUUUAACUUUU